rnacentral:tRNA from 1 species
CAGAGAAUAGUUUAAGUAAAAUAUUAAUUUUGGGAAUUAAAGAUAAAGUAAUUAUUUUUUCUCUGA